UACAGAGGGGGCAAGCGUUGUUCGGAAUUACUGGGCGUAAAGGGCGCGUAGGCGGCCUUCUAAGUCGAACGUGAAAUCCCCGGGCUCAACCCGGGAACUGCGUCCGAUACUGGAAGGCUUGAAUCCGGGAGAGGGAUGUGGAAUUCCAGGUGUAGCGGUGAAAUGCGUAGAUAUGUCAUAGAACACCGAUUGCGAAGGCAGCUCACAAAGCCACUAUUGACGCUGAGGCACGAAAGCCAGGGGAGCGAACGGG
rnacentral:rRNA from 1 species